rnacentral:rRNA from 1 species
GCUAAGAAUCUUCCGCAAUGGGCGAAAGCCUGACGGAGCGACGCCGCGUGAACGAAGAAGGCCGUGAGGUUGUAAAGUUCUUUUCGGGAGGGGGAACAACCGUGGCAGGGAAUGGCCGCGGGAUGACGUGAAUCCCGGAAUAAGCCCCGGCUAACUACGUGCCAGCAGCCGCGGUAACACGUAGGGGGCGAGCGUUGUUCGGAAUCAUUGGGCGUAAAGGGCGUGCAGGCGGUCCUGCAAGUCCGGCGUGAAAGACCCCGGCCCAACCGGGGGGACGCGCUGGAAACUGCAGGGCUUGAGUACAGGAGGGGAUGCCGGAAUUCCAGGUGUAGGGGUGAAAUCUGUAGAUAUCUGGAAGAACACCAAUGGCGAAGGCAGGCAUCUGGCCAUGUACUGACGCUGAGACGCGAAGGUGCGGGGAGCAAACAGGUUUAGAAACCCUAGUAGUCC